GAAGGUUAAUAUAUUAUUAAUUAUAAAAUUUAAUUUUAUAUUAAAAAAAGAAUUUUUUAUUUUAUUAUUUUUUGAAAAAAUAAUUUUAAUUAUAGUUUAAAGUAUUGUGAAAGAAUUAUUUUAAUUUUAAAAAAGAAAAAUUUAUUUUUUGUACCUUGUGUAUCAGGGUUGAUUAAAAUUAUUUUUGUAUAAAUUAUUCUCGAAUUCAAAAGAGUUAAUUAAUAAUAUAUUUUAUUGUAAAAUAAAUAUUUAAAAUUAUUAGUUAGAAAUGAAACGUUAUUCGUUUUUGAAUAUAUCUAGUUUUUAAAGAAAUAAAUUUAAUUUAUUUAUUAAUAAAUAAAAUUUUUAGUUUUUAAUUUUUUAUUUAUUAAUAUUAAAUAUUUAUAGGGAUAAGCUUAUAAGUAAAUUUUUAUAGUAAAAUAAAUAUUGAAAUAAAUUGUAGGAUUAAAAAUUUCUAUUAAUAAAAAAUUGUUAUAAUUAAUUAUUUUCUAUAUAAAAUUUUUAUUUUAUUUAAAUUUUAUAUUUAAAUAUAAAUUUUAAUUUUUAAAAUUUAGCAAUAAUGAUUAAAUUAGUAUAGUUUUAUGUAUAAUAUUAUUUAUUAUAUAGGUUAAAUUAAGGAAUUCGGCAAUUUUAUUUUUCACCUGUUUAUUAAAAACAUGUCUUUUUGAUUAUAAUUUAAAGUCUAAUCUGCCCACUGAGGAUUUAAAUGGCCGCGGUAUUUUGACCGUGCAAAGGUAGCAUAAUAAUUAGUUUCUUAAUUAGAAGCUGGAAUGAAAGAUUGGAUGAGAAAGUGACUGUCUCAAUUUAAUUUAAUUAGAAUUUUAUUUUUAAGUAAAAAAGCUUAAAUAAUUUUAAAAGACGAGAAGACCCUAUAGAGUUUAAUAAAAUUUAUUUAAUAAAAGUUUAUAUUUAAUUUUUUUAAAAAAUAAUUUUUAUUUUGUUGGGGUGACAAAAAAAUUUAAUUAACUUUUUUUGAAUAAAA
rnacentral:rRNA from 1 species